GGAAAGACACGCUAGCGGUGAGGCAGUUCAGUUGCUAUCUGGAUGAAGGGAUUCUUAUAGGUUCGACUCCUAUUCUUUCCG